AUUGAACGCUGGCGGCAUGCUUUACACAUGCAAGUCGAACGGUAGAGGGGGCAACCCCUUGAGAGUGGCGAACGGGUGAGUAAUGCAUCGGAACGUGCCCAGUCGUGGGGGAUAACGCAGCGAAAGCUGUGCUAAUACCGCAUACGAUCUCUGGAUGAAAGCGGGGGACCGAAAGGCCUCGCGCGAUAGGAGCGGCCGAUGUCAGAUUAGGUAGUUGGUGGGGUAAAGGCCUACCAAGCCAACGAUCUGUAGCUGGUCUGAGAGGACGACCAGGCACACUGGGACUGAGACACGGACCAGACGCCUACGGGAGGCAGCAGUGGGGAAUUUUGGACAAUGGGCGCAAGCCUGAUCCAGCAAUGCCGCGUGCAGGAAGAAGGCCUUCGGGUUGUAAACUGCUUUUGUACGGAACGAAACGGUCUGGGUUAAUACCCUGGGCUAAUGACGGUACCGUAAGAAUAAGCACCGACUAACUACGUGCCAGCAGCCGCAGUAA
rnacentral:rRNA from 1 species